rnacentral:rRNA from 1 species
AUUGAACGCUGGCGGCAUGCUUAACACAUGCAGGUCGAACGGCAGCAUGUUUUGUAGCAAUACAAAAUGAUGGCGAGUGGCGGACGGGUGAGAAACGCGUAGGAAUCUACCCAAAAGAGGGGGGCAACCCGAGGAAACUCGGGCUAAUACCGCAUAUUACUCUUUGGAGGAAAGGCUGGGGCAACCUGGCGCUUUAGGAGGAGCCUGCGUCCGAUUAGCUAGUUGGUUAGGUAAAGGCUGACCAAGGCGAUGAUCGGUAGCUGGUCUGAGAGGAUGAUCAGCCACACUGGGACUGAGACACGGCCCAGACUCCUACGGGAGGCAGCAGUGGGGAAUAUUGGACAAUGGGGGCAACCCUGAUCCAGCAAUGCCGCGUGUGUGAAGAAGGCCUUCGGGUUGUAAGGCACUUAGUUGGGGAAGAAGGUGUAUUGUUUAAGAGAUGAUACAUUUGACUGUACCCAAAGAAUAAGCACCGGCUAACUCUGUGCCAGCAGCCGCAGUAA